UACGAAGGGGGCUAGCGUUGUUCGGAAUCACUGGGCGUAAAGGGCGCGUAGGCGGCUUUGUAAGUCCGCUGUGAAAGUCAAAGGCUCAACCUUUGAAUGCCGGUGGAUACUGCAGGGCUAGAGUCCGGAAGAGGCAAGUGGAAUUCCUGGUGUAGCGGUGGAAUGCGCAGAUAUCAGGAGGAACACCAACGGCGAAGGCAGCUUGCUGGGACGGUACUGACGCUAAGGCGCGAAAGCGUGGGGAGCGAACAGG
rnacentral:rRNA from 1 species